rfam:Fomitopsis pinicola FP-58527 SS1 unplaced genomic scaffold FOMPIscaffold_98, whole genome shotgun sequence.
GCCUUCUUAGCUCAGUGGUAGAGCGCAUCACUCGUAAGAUCGAACUCUGUUCCAUGAUGAGGUCACCUGUUCGAUACAGGUAGGAGGCA